AAGUCGUAACAAGGUUUCCGUAGGUGAACCUGCGGAAGGAUCAUUAUGAAUUUUGACGGGGGUCUUUUUAAUGAGAGACCUCUUCAUUUUUCUGUGAACUGGUAUUGUUUGUUCCGAGUAGGCCCGUCCAUUAUUGGGUGGGUUGAAAAGAUGAACGAUAUGUUUUUGUUAUCUUAUAUUUAUUCCAUUUUGUUUAUUUCGUAAAUCUUUCUUUUUUUUUCAUUUUGGAAAAAAAAAAAGACUUUUUGAAAUAAAACAAUAAACCAAGACAACUUUCAGCAAUGGAUCUCUUGGCUCUU
rnacentral:misc_RNA from 1 species